UGCAAGUCGAGCGGACCGACGGGAGCUUGCUCCCUUAGGUCAGCGGCGGACGGGUGAGUAACACGUGGGUAACCUGCCUGUAAGACUGGGAUAACUCCGGGAAACCGGGGCUAAUACCGGAUGCUUGAUUGAACCGCAUGGUUCAAUCAUAAAAGGUGGCUUUUAGCUACCACUUACAGAUGGACCCGCGGCGCAUUAGCUAGUUGGUGAGGUAACGGCUCACCAAGGCGACGAUGCGUAGCCGACCUGAGAGGGUGAUCGGCCACACUGGGACUGAGACACGGCCCAGACUCCUACGGGAGGCAGCAGUAGGGAAUCUUCCGCAAUGGACGAAAGUCUGACGGAGCAACGCCGCGUGAGUGAUGAAGGUUUUCGGAUCGUAAAACUCUGUUGUUAGGGAAGAACAAGUACCGUUCGAAUAGGGCGGCACCUUGACGGUACCUAACCAGAAAGCCACGGCUAACUACGUGCCAGCAGCCGCGGUAAUACGUAGGUGGCAAGCGUUGUCCGGAAUUAUUGGGCGUAAAGCGCGCGCAGGCGGUUUCUUAAGUCUGAUGUGAAAGCCCCCGGCUCAACCGGGGAGGGUCAUUGGAAACUGGGGAACUUGAGUGCAGAAGAGGAGAGUGGAAUUCCACGUGUAGCGGUGAAAUGCGUAGAGAUGUGGAGGAACACCAGUGGCGAAGGCGACUCUCUGGUCUGUAACUGACGCUGAGGCGCGAAAGCGUGGGGAGCGAACAGGAUUAGAUACCCUGGUAGUCCACGCCGUAAACGAUGAGUGCUAAGUGUUAGAGGGUUUCCGCCCUUUAGUGCUGCAGGCAAACGCAUUAAGCACUCCGCCUGGGGGAGUACGGUCGCAAGACUGAAACUCAAAGGAAUUGACGGGGGCCGC
rnacentral:rRNA from 1 species